AUUUCUUCUUUGUACAAAGUAGAAAUGUCUUUCUACUUUGCAAGAAGUAGAAAGUACUUCUUACAAAGUACAAGUACUUUCUCUCUUAAGGUAGCCAAAUGCCUCGUCAUCUAAUUAGUGACGCGCAUGAAUGGAU
rnacentral:ncRNA from 1 species